rnacentral:rRNA from 1 species
UACAUAGGAAUCUGCCCAGCAGUGGGGGAUAACCUGGGGAAACUCAGGCUAAUACCGCAUAAGCCCUACGGGGGAAAGCGGGGGAUCUUCGGACCUCGCGCUGUUGGAUGAGCCUAUGUCAGAUUAGCUUGUUGGUGAGGUAAAGGCUCACCAAGGCGACGAUCUGUAGCUGGUCUGAGAGGAUGAUCAGCCACACUGGGACUGAGACACGGCCCAGACUCCUACGGGAGGCAGCAGUAGGGAAUAUUGGACAAUGGGCGAAAGCCUGAUCCAGCAAUGCAGCGUGUGUGAAGAAGGCCUGCGGGUUGUAAAGCACUUUCAAUUGGGAGGAAAGCUAGAAGGUUAAUACCUUUUAGUCUUGACGUUACCUUUAGAA